GACGAACGCUGGCGGCGUGCUUAACACAUGCAAGUCGAACGGAGUGGCGAACGGGUGAGUAACACGUGGGUGAUCUGCCUUGCACUUCGGGAUAAGAUUGGGAAACUGGGUCUAAUACCGGAUAGUGCAAGAUGAGCUCGCGGCCUAUCAGCGUGUUGGUGGGGUAAUGGCCUACCAAGGCGUCGACGGGGAGCCGGCCUGGGAGGGUGUACGGCCACAUUGGGACGGGGAUGCGGGCCAGAGGGCUACGGGAGGCAGGAGUGGGGAAUAGUGCACAAUGGGCGGAGGCAUGAGGCAGGGACGCCGGGUGGGGGAUGAAGGCCUUCGGGUUGUAAACUGCUUUCGACAGAGACGCGGAACCAGUAUAAGAAGCACCGGCUAACUACUUGCCAGCAGCCGCGUAAUAC
rnacentral:rRNA from 1 species